rnacentral:miRNA from 1 species
UUGGCCAAAAAAUUCGUUUGGGUUUUUCCAUAAGAUGUUUUGAAAAACCUGAGUAAACUUUUUGGCCAA